rnacentral:lncRNA from 1 species
GGUCACGGAUCGAUCAGAUCACAAAAAUUUUAGGUCGAGUCACAGUAUCCGGAUGCUUUAGGUCAGGUCACACGAUGCUUUAGGUCAGGUCAGGUCAUAUUGAACUUUAGGUCAAAUUAGAUUACAGUGUUCUGUCCACAUUAGUGCACAUCACAAGAUUGGUUGGACGUUAACGACCUCCAGUUUAGGGUUUAAGGUUUAAGAUUUAGGAUUUGGGUUUAGGGUUUUGGGUUUAAGGUUUAGGGUUUAGGGUUU